rnacentral:lncRNA from 1 species
GCCAUUGCACUCCAGCCUGGGCAACAAGAGUGAAACUCCGUUUAAAAAAAAAAAAAGGAGAAGAAGUACUCAAAAAUAAUAGUUACAUUCCAUUGGAUUUUGAAAUCAAUGAAUUAUGACAUCAUCAGUUGAGAACACUAAAUGCAGAACCACAUGGAGCACAUGCUAUCUCUCAAUUCAAAGAGAAUCUGUUUAAUGCAAUGUAGUGUCCUGGACUGUAUCCUGAACAGAACAAAGAUACUAAUGAAAAACCUGGGGAAAUCCAAAUAAAAUCUGAAGUUUAGUUAAUAAUUCACAAUGAUGUUAGCUUCUUAGUGGUGAUAAACAUGCUACGGCAACAUAAGAUGCUUUCAUUUCAGGAAACCGGUAAGAACAGACUGAAUUACCUCUGAAGAAAAAAUGAAAAGACACUGCGCAAGAUUUUAAUAAAGAGAGGAAAGCAUCCAAAAAGGGCUUUCUCUGGCCUAAAGAGUCCAUUUUGCCUACUGUCAUAGGACUUGAAAAUGAUCAUUCCCCACUCCCCAGCAAGACACAAGCAGGGGUAAGUGACUGGCAUAUAAAUAUCCCACGCCCUCAACCCUCAGUGAGGAAAACUCUGCAGCGUGUGUCCUAUACUGGCUCCCAGGGUUCCCCUGCGGCCUCUAACUCCAUUCCCACAGUAGUAACCUGCCUGAUAAUGAGCUAUUUGUGGCUUGCCUUUCCUUACCAUCUCACUUCCCCACUCCCCUGUGAGUGCUUCCUGGGAUCAUUUCCCAAAGGAAGUACUUUCACUGGAUCCUUGACUCAGCAUCUGUUCUGGGGAAUGCAAAGCAAGACACUGACUGCAGACAUAUAUAUGCCUACUUAGUUUUAGUAAAAUAUUUUAAGGGCCAGGGGCAGGGGCUCAUGCCUGUAAUCUCAGCACUUAGGGAGGCUGA